AUAUGGUAAUAUAUUCGCGAUGAUUUGCAUGCGAUAAGAAAAAGAAAAAAAUCUCGAACUUUUCGUUCCUCCAGCUUGAUCCUUGGCACUAUAAAUACGCCUUCUUCUACUCUGUUUCCCGAGCAAAGCAAAGAUGGCCAGGCUCUCCUUUUUUCUCUUGGUCCUCCUCGUCGUCGCCGGGGUUGAGAUGGUGGUGCUGAAGGUGGCUGCAGACAACUGCACGCCUGGUGCUUGCGUAUUUGAAUGCAACAGAGAGGGGUUUUGGGAUUUCUCAUGCCUUGGUGUUGUGCUAACAAAAAACAUAGAGAACCUUCUUUUCUUUUCUUUGUUUUUGUUUGAACUAUGAGGAUUUCUCAUGUAUGCUCCAAAAUAUACCGUAUUGCCACGAAACUAUGAAAGAAAGUUUUCUUAUUCCAGAUUGUUGGAAUUUAGCA